GGGAGGAUCCAGCGAGGAGAAGACCACCAACCAGACUGAGCCUAAGCCUUGCUUUUUGCAAACUGAAACUGACCGCCUUCACAAUAAAGUGUGCAGCUGCAGCAUCAAGGUUUGCUCAAAAGCCUUUGAUGAGGAACUUUGUCAAAAGUUUUUUGGAAGUUCAAGUAUACUAUGUUGACCGGAUCACCUUUAUCCACAUGCCUGUUGACACUCUGAAAGAACUCCAAAAGGCAUUCAAAUCCAGAUACAAAGGGCAGGCUGCCAUAGGAAAGAACAGGCACAGGACAGCUGUGCAUUCUCCAUCAUGGUCUAGUGUGCUGUUCACCUCAGAGGGCUCGCUGAAGAGAAUAAUCUCUGUGUAAGCAGCUCUUUGCUGAUUUUUCAAGAGCCAAAGCAUCAAUCAAUGUGACUGAAAAUAGCGCGAGCUGUGAGUGCAGAGGGAAGGGAAGAAAUGAACUCACCUUAGAUGUCAAGGUUGCUUUGAGGAUCAUCAUUUUUGUUUCAAGAGUGCACCAUGACUCACUUCUGUGAUGAAAAUUAGAACAUUGGAAGGACCUAUAUCCUAUUUCUAUGCCUGCUUAUAAUAUGCAUGCCACCAUUGCUCAGAAGGAAGCCCACACAUUUAAAUGGGAGUUUCUUCCCUGUUAAGGCCAAACUAUAUGUAACAUCAAUAAAGUCUUUGCAAACUU